rnacentral:rRNA from 1 species
UGAAAUCCGUAGAGAUCAGCAGGAACACCAGAGGCGAAAGCGACUGCCUGGCCAAACACUGACGCUGAGGAACGAAAGCGUGGGGAGCAAACAGGAUUAGAUACCCUGGUAGUCCACGCCGUAAACGAUGAUAACUAGGUGUUGGGGGAAUUGACCCCUUCAGUACCGAAGCACACGCGUUAAGUUAUCCGCC